rnacentral:sRNA from 1 species
AUGUAUCACACAUUGAUGCUAUUUGUAGACGUGUGAAUGCAUUUCUCUCAUUCAAUAUGUACUGGUACUUCAUGAAUGAAAUCCACUUGCAGCGUUUACAAUUUUAAGUUCGCUACUAAAACGUCACCAGAAUACGUCACGAUCCACAGUCUGUCUUGGUCGUCUGCUGCAGCGCCCCACACUGAGAUGAUGCCGUCACUCAGGGAUUCCUUCAUGUUGUAUGUCUGUAGAUUGACCCCGGUCUCACUGAUUACUUUCACGAGUCCUUGUAACCCACAACUUAAAAUCACAUUCCUGUGAUUGUCGCAUGAAAUGUUCCAAAUCUCGUCAACAUCUCGCGGCAACAACGAUUCCCGGAUGAUCCCGUCGCCUUCCAUGUUCAAAGUCUUUACCGUCCCUUUAUCCAAAAUACAGAGCGUCCCGUCUGAAAAUGACGAGAUAAGACGCGGUCUGUGUAGAAGCAGAUCUCCCUGACUGUUCACAUUUAAGCACUGAAGAACUUCACCUGUGUCGGAUAGCCUAAGAAGCUCCCGCCAACCUGGAAUAGGGCCACCACACACUUUCAGGAUGACAAACAGAUUGUUACGGCUAGUGUGGAUACCUUCAAUGUCACAGUCCGAGAAUUUCGCCAAAACGGUUGUUUCGUCGUUUUCCUCCACCUGAAAAACUUCCGAAACACCCGCGAAAACUGGUUUUAAGUUCAAUACCCCGCCAAACAUCGCGGACACGAAGCGCAAUUUGACAACCCUGUGGACAGUUCCUUGACAGUCUAUCAGUUCCAAGGAGGGUACCCUCGUGCAUAUCCAGGCCUUACUAUCGCCGACUGGGCAUACAGAGAACACCGCUUUUCGUUUCUGUUGGCGAAAUCCACCCACCCUUUGAAGAACUGGCCUAAAACUUCGUCCUUCCAUUUAGACAAAGCGGCAACAGGAGCAACUAGUACAUGCCCUAUUAUAGUACAUGCAAUAUUGGCUUCCUAGUUCCAGCGCACUACGGGUAAUGUAAUACUUGAGCCCAACUGAUGAAAUCUUGGACACACGUAAAAUUGCUAUUAAAGUAUUAAUGGCACAUGUU